rnacentral:snRNA from 1 species
UAGUGUUACAGCUCUUUUAGAAUUUGUCUAGCAGGUUUUCUGGCUUUAGCUGGAAACCCCCC